AGUAAAGCUUCUAAAUGAAUCAAAACUUUCAACAACGGAUCUCUUGGUUCUGGCAUCGAUGAAGAACGCAGCGAAAUGCGAUAAGUAAUGUGAAUUGCAGAAUUCAGUGAAUCAUCGAAUCUUUGAACGCACAUUGCGCCCUCUGGUAUUCCAGAGGGCA
rnacentral:rRNA from 1 species